ensembl:lncRNA
UCUGAGGAUUCCUUAGGCAGUCUGGAUGAGAGAGAGAAAAGGCUGCUGACCAGUGAGAUGAACUACUGGACUAAGGAGAGGAGGAGGAAUGGCAGUGCAGGGUGCCGCCAUAAAUCCACUCGCAGAACCUCAUCACCAUGCUGUUCGCCUAAGAGGUCCCAGACCUCAUUGCAGAGCUUGCCUGCAACUAGAGAGGCUCCCCUCAUGGAGGAGCCUCUGAACGCUCUUUUUGGGGUAACGGAAGAGAGCCUCCUGAUAUCCCUGGUUGAGGGUCACUCCAACCCCACCUCCUCCAGCUCCUCCGAUUUGAGCUGUGCUAUCGUGGGAGAGGUAGUACACCAGCUUAACCCUGGCCUCUCAGUGGCCAUUCAGGCCAGCUCGGGGAGUUUCCCCCCUAUGGACAGUCAGGACAUAGCAGCAGGCAAGGAGGUCAUUCGGGUAGUCUCGGUGCAGAUCCUGGCCGAGCUACAGAGCCAAACGUCUGAGCCAGAGUGGGUAGGGUUUAUCGAGCCCCU